rnacentral:tRNA from 1 species
GGACGUCUAGCUCAGCGGUAGAGCACGCGCUCGAUAGGAGCGCGGUCGGUAGUUCGAUCCUAUCGACGUCCACCA